rnacentral:rRNA from 1 species
UCGCUCCUACCGAUUGAAUGGUCCGGUGAAGUGUUCGGACCGUGGCUGACUGAUGGUCCGCCGUCGGUCUGCCGUGGGAAGUUCAUUAAACCUUAUCAUUUAGAGGAAGGAG